rnacentral:lncRNA from 1 species
AUUAUGUCAAGUUGACAAAAGCUCAACACACCUUCCAAAUCUAUACGCUUUAAAGUCUACAUCUACUUUUCCUGCCUUCACUCAUUUAACUAUGAAAUAAGUUUCUAUAGCCAGGUUAGGCCAGUCCCCACCCAAAGCAAGGCUUCAUAGGACAGUAUCAUCCUAUUUUGGGAUAUGAAAACAGCUCUAGAAAUGAGACUCAACAGCUCAGCUCCUGAGUCAAAAACUCCUGUAACACAAGGCUGCCGUUGGCAGUUAGCACUCUGUCCUCAUACACUCGGCCUUCAAGGUUCUGUGCUCACAUCAUUUUUCACUAAGGCGCAUUUUCUAAUUCCUGCUCUUCUUUCUGGUCAUAAUCCCAAUGUUGCUUCCUCUAGAAAGCCCAGACCAUAUGCUCUAUGCUGUCAGUUUCUGUGUGUU